UGUCUCCUCCUGAGACUCAGCGAAGUUGAAAUGGUUGUGAAGAUGCAAUCUCCCCGCUGCUAGACGGAAAGACCCCGUGAACCUUUACUGUAGCUUUGCAUUGGACUUUGAAGUCACUUGUGUAGGAUAGGUGGGAGGCUAAGAAGCAGAAACGCUAGUAUCUGUGGAGCCGUCCUUGAAAUACCACCCUGGUGACUUUGAGGUUCUAACCCGGAUCCAUUAUCUGGAUCGGGGACCGUGCAUGGUAGGCAGUUUGACUGGGGCGGUCUCCUCCCAAAGAGUAACGGAGGAGUUCGAAGGUUACCUAGGUCCGGUCGGAAAUCGGACUGAUAGUACAAUGGCACAAGGUAGCUUAACUGCGAGACCGACAAGUCGAGCAGGUGCGAAAGCAGGACAUAGUGAUCCGGUGGUUCUGAAUGGAAGGGCCAUCGCUCAACGGAUAAAAGGUACUCCGGGGAUAACAGGCUGAUUCCGCCCAAGAGUUCAUAUCGACGGCGGAGUUUGGCACCUCGAUGUCGGCUCAUCACAUCCUGGGGCUGUAGUCGGUCCCAAGGGUAUGGCUGUUCGCCAUUUAAAGUGGUACGUGAGCUGGGUUUAAAACGUCGUGAGACAGUUUGGUCCCUAUCUGCAGUGGGCGUUGGAAGUUUGACGGGGGCUGCUCCUAGUACGAGAGGACCGGAGUGGACGAACCUCUGGUGUACCGGUUGUGACGCCAGUCGCAUCGCCGGGUAGCUAAGUUCGGAAGAGAUAAACGCUGAAAGCAUCUAAGCGUGAAACUCGCCUGAAGAUGAGACUUCCCUAGGGAUUAAAUCCCUCUGAAGAGACGUUCGAGACCAGGACGUUGAUAGGUCGGGUGUGGAAGAGUGGUAACACUUGCAGCUAACCGAUACUAAUUGCUCGUGAGGCUUGACUCUAU
rnacentral:rRNA from 1 species